CCUUUUCAGAAAAAGAAAUGAGUAUCUAACUCGAACAUAUUAAUCAUAGGAAAGCAUCAUAUAUCCUUUUAUGUCUCUUUUUUUCCCAACAUAACCUUCAUUUAAUGGCUAAAAUAUUAAUUGGCAUGGUUUUUAGAAGCAGUUAAAUUUUUUCCCUAGUCUAUGUCAAAAUUGUUUAGGUUGGAAAACAUAGAAACAUUGUGAAGCAUAACCAAGUACUUGUUUUAAGCCUGGAUUACUUCAGCCAUCAUAAUUAAAAAAUUUAAUUCAGAAAUCCAUGGCAACUCAUUAGUUCUUUACAAUUCUAGGACGAAAACUAUGUGACCAUUUAAGUGAAUUACUUGAACAAUCUUUCUCUUUACAACUAAUGACAAAGAAAAACACCCCCAAAGCAAUUAUAUAACAAUUUAAGUAAAUUACUUAUGGGCCCAGAAAAAUCACUUGCAUUCAAUUAUGGCAAGCUGGUUACCAUCCAGUGUUUACAUCUUAUCUAAUUGGUAUGGGAACAAUCAAAAAGCUGAUGUCACUAGAGUCCAUAACGAACCUAGUGUUGCAACAAAAAAAAUAAUAAUAGAGUUAAUCUGAGGUAAUAAGUUAUUAAGUACAGUAUACCAGAUACAUGGCAUGGAUCAAGUUAAAUCUAACCACUUGAUAUGAUUUUUUAGUAAACAUGUAAGACGUUUUUCUUUUGUCCCUUGAGAACAAUUGGUUAUUUACUCAUUUCUUAGAUUACAGUCACCAACCAUAUAGUUCAUUCAGUUCAUUGUUCCCACUUUUAUCUCCAUUUGUAUAGUUGAUGGCUCUCAGCAUAAACAACCUUAUUCCCCCGUGCGGAAAGUUAAUCUUAAAAAAUAUAAUGAUAUUUUAAGCUCAAAAUCCCCCUUCAACACCUAAACCCUUGGAAGGUAUAAUAUUUUUUUUUAAUUUAUGAAUUCUAUUAUUAUGGAAUACAAUUGAAAUCAAAAGUGAAAGUGCGUGCAUGCACACCACAAAAAAGUGCUUAUAAACAUCGAAUUAACAAAAAAUCGACCAAUUCAUUAUGCACAAAAGAAACAUCUUUUAUAGCUAGAUCCCAAAGCUCCAUGCUCCUUUUCAGAAAAAGAAAUGAGUAUCUAACUCGAACAUAUUAAUCAUAGGAAAGCAUCAUAUAUCCUUUUAUGUCUCUUUUUUUCCCAACUUAACCUUCAUUUAAUGGCUAAAAUAUUAAUUGGCAUGGUUUUUAGAAGCAGUUAAAUUUUUUCCCUAGUCUAUGUCAAAAUUGUUUAGGUUGGAAAACAUAGAAACAUUGUGAAGCAUAAACAAGUACUUGUUUUAAGCCUGGAUUACUUUAGCCAUCAUAAUUAAACAAUUUAAUUCAAAAAUCCAUGGCAACUCAUUAGUUCUUUACAAUUCCAGGACGAAAACUAUGUGACCAUUUAAGUGAAUUACUUGAACAAUCUUUCUCUUUACAACUAAUGACAAAGAAAAACAUCCCCAAAGCAAUUAUAUAACAAUUUAAGUAAAUUACUUAUGGUCCUAGAAAUAUCACUUGCAUUCAAUUAUGGCAAGCUGGUUACCAUCCCGUGUUUACAUCUUAUCUAAUUGGUAUGAGAACAAUCAAAAAGCUGAUGUUACCAGAGUCCAUAACAAACCUAGUGUUGCAAUAAAAAAAAAAAUAAUAAUAAUAAUAAUAAUAAUAAUAGAGUUAAUCUGAGGUAAUAAGUUAUUGAGUACAGUAUACCAGAUACAUGGCAUGGAUUAAGUUAAAUCUAACCACUUGAUAUGAGUUUUUAGUAAACAUGUAAGACAUUUUUUUUUGUCCCUUGAGAACAAUUGGUUAUUUACUCAUUUCUUAGAUUACAGUCACCAACCAUAUAGUUCAUUCAGUUCAUUGUUCCCACUUUUAUCUCCAUUUGUAUAGUUGAUGGCUCUCAGCAUAAACAACCUUAUUCCCCGUGCGGAAAGUUAAUCUUAAAAAAUGUAAUGAUAUUCUAAGCUCAAAAUCCCCCUUCAACAUCUAAACCCUUGGAAGGUAUAAUUUUAUUUUUUUUUUUAAUUUAUGAAUUCUAUUAUUAUGGAAUACAAUUGAAAUCAAAAGUGAAGGUGCGUGCAUGCACACCACAAAAAAGUGCUUAUAAACAUCGAAUUAACAAAAAAUCGACCAAUUCAUUAUGCACAAAAGAAACAUAUAAUUAUAUGUC
rnacentral:lncRNA from 1 species